rnacentral:lncRNA from 1 species
GAGCGGGUGGCACAGGGAUUGGAGGGCUCAACGCCUAGGUCCACUGCUGGCUGGGUGUCAAGGUUGGACAGCUGGGCCUGGGCUGAGGGAGGCCAAAGGGCCCAGACCAGCAGCAGGGCUACAUUUUCCAAAGGGAGCCUGCAGGGACAAAAAAACAGGUCUAGUUCCCUGGCCCUGGUGAGAAUCCUGGGAAAAGAAUCAGGAAAAGGGGCCUGUCAGGGACAGGGAUGACAGGAGGGCCAAAGAAAGGCACAGCGUGAAGGGUCACAGGAUGGGUGUUGUUGAGGUGGGGGCCAGGACCCCAGAAAGGAGCCCAGGCUAGGGACCUAUUGCAGGGCUCAGGCCAGGGGAGUACGGGGAAGGGCUGGGCCGGGUAGGAGGGCAGCACUAGGGUUCUGCAGUGCAGGGAAGCCAAGGGGAGCAGGG